rnacentral:rRNA from 1 species
CCUUMACGCUUGYRRAUUCMYUUUCUGYYACCSRAUACAUUAGCAUGGGAUAAUGGAAUAGGACCCUGUCCUCCUWUUUUCAGUUGGUUUUGGCAGCGCGAGGACUAGGGUAAUGAUUAAUAGGGAUAGUUGGGGGCAUUAAUAUUUAAUUGUCAGAGGUGAAAUUCUUGGAUUUAUGAAAGAUUAACUUCUGCGAAAGCAUCUGCCAAGGAUGUUUUCAUUAAUCAAGAACGAAAGUUAGGGGAUCGAAGACGAUCAGAUACCGUCGUAGUCUUAACCAUAAACGAUGCCGACCAGCGAUUAGGAGACGUUGAAUACAAAACACCACCAUCGGCGCGGUCGUCCUUGGCGCGUUCGUGUUCACGCACGGGCGCGCGAGGGCGGCUUAGCCCGGUGGCACCGGUGAAUGACUCCCCUAGASAUUUGURARAA